rnacentral:lncRNA from 1 species
GCGUGUAGUGGGUGGCUCUGCAAUUGUAUUCCUGUUUCAAGCCCCGUUUUCUUGCAGCUCUUCGGCACUGCAAACUUAACCGCUGAUGGCGCUGUGGGUGGAGAAACGUUUGUUAGGCAACAACAGAAUUCUGCGAAACUUGGUUGGUUGGAGGAGCACACCAAAAAUAAAGUACCGGAGCCAGCACGGCUUCAAAAAAAUUAGGAUCAGUACCGCUAGUAGCGAACGCAUAAGAAGGGCUUCCUGUAUGCCUGCGUAUCUUGUUUAAGCCUAAAGAUAUGUACUCUCUUUAUCCCCUUUUUUUGAGACGAGGAAAUAGACCCAACAUGCCCGAGAUCACACAUUUUACAAGGAAGAAGUAGGAUCCAGACCCAGGGAGUUUAACUUCAAAACUUGCACGUUUAACAAUCAGGUCUUGCUGCCCUACUCAUAAAGAGACCCAAAUAAAAACAACAUGACGCCA